rnacentral:lncRNA from 1 species
CCGGGUUCUUAUCCUCAUCAUGAAAAUCUCUUCAUCAGCUACCCGUGUGAUGGUCGAUCCCAGUCGUCGUCGUCGUCGCCGUCUCUCAGCUUUGAUUCUGAGCUUCCUUGCACGUCUCCGCCCCUAAAUUCCGUCCAUCUUGCAGGGUUUAUGCUACUUCGCUGCCGAUACGGUCUUCCUGUCACAACUCCAUACGGCCUGCGAGCUCGUCGUUCGUCGAGAAUGGGCUAUAUGGGCCAGGCCAGUUUAAU